GAUGAACGCUGGCGGCGUGCCUAAUACAUGCAAGUCGAACGAAACUUCUUUAUCACCGAGUGCUUGCACUCACCGAUAAAGAGUUGAGUGGCGAACGGGUGAGUAACACGUGGGCAACCUGCCCAAAAGAGGGGGAUAACACUUGGAAACAGGUGCUAAUACCGCAUAACCAUAGUUACCGCAUGGUAACUAUGUAAAAGGUGUCUAUACUACCGCUUUUGGAUGGGCCCGCGGCGCAUUAGCUAGUUGGUAGGGUAAAGGCUUACCAAGGCAAUGAUGCGUAGCCGAAGUGAGAGGUUGAUCGGCCACAUUGGGACUGAGACACGGCCCAAACUCCUACGGGAGGCAGCAGUAGGGAAUCUUCCACAAUGGGCGAAAGCCUGAUGGAGCAACGCCGCGUGGGUGAAGAAGGUCUUCGGAUCGUAAAACCCUGUUGUUAGAGAAGAAAGUGCGUGAGAGUAACUGUUCACGUUUCGACGGUAUCUAACCAGAAAGCCACGGCUAACUACGUG
rnacentral:rRNA from 1 species